ACAGCCCCCUGCCUCCUCACACCAGACAUAGAGAAUAAGUGACAGAUUUCACUGUAUUAAGGCUUUGAGACAUUGGAAUUGUUUGUUACCACAGUCUGACCUUACCUAUCAUGGCUGAUGUACCGGAGCAGUGAGCACAAGGUGGCGUUUUCAUAAAGUCGAUGGAUCAAGCCAGAAAACCAAAUUCUUUCAGUGGAUACAGAAGGCUCAUCUGAUGGGUUUGAAGACUCCGGGUCAAGUGGACAUGAGAGUAGGUGAAGCGUUGUGACUAUGCAGUUUCCAGAGGCAACGUGAUGUGCGACAUUGCAACAGAUUGAUGCAGAAACAAAUAUGAAAGCCGAGCUGCCUUCUAUUAAGCCAAACAUUAUAAG
ensembl:lncRNA